UCCCAUGUGGUCCACUGGUUAAGACCCUGCACUUUCAAUGCAGGGGGCACGGGUUCCAUCCCUGAUCAGGGAA
rnacentral:tRNA from 1 species